rnacentral:rRNA from 1 species
AUUGAACGCUGGCGGCAGGCCUAACACAUGCAAGUCGAGCGAGUGGCGGACGGGUGAGUAAUGUCUGGGAAACUGCCCGAUGGAGGGGGAUAACUACUGGAAACGGUAGCUAAUACCGCAUACUAUCGGAUGUACCCAUAUGGGAUUAGCUAGUAGGUGGGGUAACGGCUCAACUAGGCGCCGAUCCCUAGCUGGUCUGAGAGGAUGAUCAGCCACACUGGAACUGAGACACGGCCCAGACUCCUACGUGAGGCAGCAGUGGGGAAUAUUGCACAAUGGGCGCAAGCCUGAUGCAGCCAUGCCGCGUGUAUGAAGAAGGCCUUCGGGUUGUAAAGUACUUUCAGCCGGGAGGCGUUACCCGCAGAAGAAGCACCGGCUAACUCCGUGCCAGCAGCCGCGGUAAUUC